rnacentral:lncRNA from 12 species
GACAGGCCCUGAGUUUUGCCCAUUGGAGGGGGGAGUUAAAAGGACAUUCUGCCUUCCUCAGGUACCCACGGAAGGCAGAAGGUCUGGGCAAAGGAGGAACUUCUAUCUUCACCAGAAGCAAGAUUUACACUGGAAAGAAGGAUCUCGAGGGGAGGUACCAGACUCAACAUUCCUUGGCUGAGCCCCAGGGCUCUACAUAUACCUUGAAGAGCACUUAAUUGGUUGUAAUUUUUUCUACCAUGGGAUUGGCAUGUACAAUUGCAGCUUACACACUGCACAACUCCAGGUGUUUGUUAUGUGGCAUCAACCUGGGUGACCCAUCACGCAGCCCAUGAGCCAGUGUACAGUAGUGGCUGCAUAUAAGGGCUUGGCUGGCAGGCAAUGGGGGAGCUAGUCUCUCUAACUUUGUGGAGAAGCUCUCUCAUUCUCCUUGAGCCCACUUCCACAUCUAUAAAGUGGAAAUGACCAUCAUAGUCCCUUCAUUUCCAGGGCAUUUGUAG